GUACACUCCUGCGGGAGGCAGCAGUGGGGAAUUUUGGACAAUGGGCGAAAGCCUGAUCCAGCAAUGCCGCGUGAGUGAAGAAGGCCUUCGGGUUGUAAAGCUCUUUUGUCAGGGAAGAAACGGUGAAAGCUAAUAUCUUUUGCUAAUGACGGUACCUGAAGAAUAAGCACCGGCUAACUACGUGCCAGCAGCCGCGGUAAUACGUAGGGUGCAAGCGUUAAUCGGAAUUACUGGGCGUAAAGCGUGCGCAGGCGGUUUUGUAAGUCUGAUGUGAAAUCCCCGGGCUCAACCUGGGAAUUGCAUUGGAGACUGCAAGGCUAGAAUCUGGCAGAGGGGGGUAGAAUUCCACGUGUAGCAGUGAAAUGCGUAGAUAUGUGGAGGAACACCGAUGGCGAAGGCAGCCCCCUGGGUCAAGAUUGACGCUCAUGCACGAAAGCGUGGGGAGCAAACAGGAUUAGAAACCCCAGUAGUCCCAUGA
rnacentral:rRNA from 1 species